AUUGAACGCUGGCGGCAGGCCUAACACAUGCAAGUCGAGCGCGCGGCGGACGGGUGAGUAAUGUAUGGGGACUGCCCGAUAGAGGGGGAUAACUACUGGAAACGGUGGCUAAUACCGCAUACUAUCGGAUAACCCAUAUGGGAUUGGCUAGUUGGUGGGGUAAAGGGUCACGUAGGCGACGAUCUCUAGCUGGUCUGCGAGGAUGAUCAGCAAAACUGGGACGAUGACACGGCCCAGACUCCUACGGAGGCAGCAGUGGGGAAUAUUGCACAAGGGGCGCAAGCCUGAUGAAGCCAUGCCGCGUGUAUGAAGAAGGCCUUAGGGUUGUAAAGUACUUUCGGCGGGGAGGCGUUACCCGCAGAAGAAGCACCGGCUAACUCCGUGCCAGCAGCCGCGGUAAUAC
rnacentral:rRNA from 1 species